rnacentral:rRNA from 1 species
GAUGAACGCUGGCGGCGUGCCUAAUACAUGCAAGUCGAGCGAACGGACGAGAAGCUUGCUUCUCUGAUGUUAGCGGCGGACGGGUGAGUAACACGUGGAUAACCUACCUAUAAGACUGGGAUAACUUCGGGAAACCGGAGCUAAUACCGGAUAAUAUUUUGAACCGCAUGGUUCAAAAGUGAAAGACGGUCUUGCUGUCACUUAUAGAUGGAUCCGCGCUGCAUUAGCUAGUUGGUAAGGUAACGGCUUACCAAGGCAACGAUGCAUAGCCGACCUGAGAGGGUGAUCGACCACACUGGAACUGAGACACGGUCCACACUCCUACGGGAGGCAGCAGUAGGGAAUCUUCCGCAAUGGGCGAAAGCCUGACGGAGCAACGCCGCGUGAGUGAUGAAGGUCUUCGGAUCGUAAAACUCUGUUAUUAGGGAAGAACAUAUGUGUAAGUAACUGUGCACAUCUUGACGGUACCUAAUCAGAAAGCCACGGCUAACUACGUG